GAUGAACGCUGGCGGCGUGCUUAACACAUGCAAGUCGAACGGGCCCUUUCUUUCGGGGAGGGGUUAGUGGCAGACGGGUGCGUAACACGUGGGUGACCUACCCUGGAGUGGGGGAUAAUUCCGCUAACGCGGAACUAAUACCGCAUAAGCUCACUGAUUCGGUUGAGUGAGAAAAGCUUUAGUGCUUCGGGAUGGGCCUGCGGCGGAUUAGGUAGUUGGUGGGGUAACGGCCUACCAAGCCGAAGAUCCGUAGGGGGCGUGAGAGCGUGGCCCCCCACACUGGCACUGAGAUACGGGCCAGACUCCUACGGGUGGCUG
rnacentral:rRNA from 1 species